AGUGAACGCUGGCGGUAGGCCUAACACAUGCAAGUCGAACGGCAGCACAGUAAGAGCUUGCUCUUACGGGUGGCGAGUGGCGGACGGGUGAGGAAUACAUCGGAAUCUACUUUUUCGUGGGGGAUAACGUAGGGAAACUUACGCUAAUACCGCAUACGACCUACGGGUGAAAGCAGGGGAUCUUCGGACCUUGCGCGAUUAAUGAGCCGAUGUCGGAUUAGCUAGUUGGCGGGGUAAAGGCCCACCAAGGCGACGAUCCGUAGCUGGUCUGAGAGGAUGAUCAGCCACACUGGAACUGAGACACGGUCCAGACUCCUACGGGAGGCAGCAGUGGGGAAUAUUGGACAAUGGGCGCAAGCCUGAUCCAGCCAUACCGCGUGGGUGAAGAAGGCCUUCGGGUUGUAAAGCCCUUUUGUUGGGAAAGAAAAGUAGCAGGUUAAUACCCCGCUGUUCUGACGGUACCCAAAGAAUAAGCACCGGCUAACUUCGUG
rnacentral:rRNA from 1 species